CCACUUCAACUUCGAGAUGGUUUUGUAGACUUGCUUACCCAAGUCUUGUUGUUGCGAAAGAGAAAUGCCCUGUUCGGGGUAGAAGUUUCGCUUCAACAUGUAGUCUUGAAAUUGUUCCUUUGCCGCUUUAUUCCAAAAGGUUACUGGCUCCUUUUUCUGCACUGGCCUAGGUGAUUCCGAUUCACGAAUUGCGAUGGCAGAUGACACAUGUUCUUUAG
rnacentral:lncRNA from 1 species